AUGGCAGCAAGUGCGAUGACCGGAAUGAUGAACUCUCUCCUUAGCAAGCUCACAACGCUGCUUGGUGAGGAGUACAAGAAGCUCACGGGAGUGAGGAAGCAGGUCUCCUUCCUCAAGGAUGAGCUCUGCACCAUGAAAGCUCUCCUUGACAAAAUGGAGCUAAUGGAUGAGCUCGAUCCCUCAGCCAAGAACUGGAGGGACCAUGUCAGGGAGAUGUCCUAUGAUAUGGAGAAUUGCAUCAAUGACUUCAUUCAUCACAUUGAGGGUGCCCAUGUAAAGAAAGAUUUUGUCACAAAGAUGUCUCAACUUCUCAAGAGGUUGGGGAGGCGUCAUCAGAUUGUCAACCGGAUCGAGGAGCGCAAGGUUCUUGUGGUGGAGGCAAAUGCUCGGCGCGAGCGUUACAAGAUUGACAUUGCAUCAACUCGAGUCAUGGCAAUGUGGUUGCGGAUCCCCAUGUGUUAG
rnacentral:rRNA from 1 species